rnacentral:RNase_P_RNA from 1 species
GAAGCUGACCAGACAGUCGCCGCUUCGUCGUCGUCCUCUUCGGGGGAGACGGGCGGAGGGGAGGAAAGUCCGUACGGCCCGUACUGAACCCGGGUAGGCUGCUUGAGCCAGUGAGCGAUUGCUGGCCUAGAUGAAUGACUGUCCACGACAGAACCCGGCUUAUCGGUCAGUUUCACCU